GAUGAACGCUAGCGGCAGGCUUAGCACAUGCAAGUCGAGGGGCAGCGCGGGAUAGCAAUAUCCUGGCGGCGACCGGCGGAAGGGUGCGUAACGCGUGAGCGACAUGCCCGUUGCCCGGGGACAACCGGUGGAAACGCCGACUAAUCCCCGAUGGGAUAUUGUGCCGCAUGGCACGAUAUUGAAAGUUACGGCGGCGACGGAUUGGCUCGCGUCCGAUUAGCUUGUUGGCGGGGUAACGGCCCACCAAGGCUGCGAUCGGUAGGGGUUCUGAGAGGAAGGCCCCCCACAAUGGGACUGAGACACGGCCCAUACUCCUACGGGAGGCAGCAGUGAGGAAUAUUGGUCAAUGGGCGGAAGCCUGAACCAGCCAUGCCGCGUGCGGGAAGGAGGCCCUAUGGGCUGUGAACCGCUUUUGCCUGGGGGCAAUAAGGGCGUCGCGCACGUCCGAUGAGAGUACCAGGCGAAUAAGCAUCGGCUAACUCCGUG
rnacentral:rRNA from 1 species